UGGGGAAUUUUGCACAAUGGGGGAAACCCUGAUGCAGCGACGCCGCGUGAUUUAGAAGGCCUUCGGGUUGUAAAAAUCUUUUUUACGGGAUGAAAAUGAAAGUACCGUAAGAAUAAGGUCCGGCUAAAUACGUGCCAGCAGCCGCGGUAAUACGUAUGGACCGAGCGUUGUCCGGAAUCAUUGGGCGUAAAGGGUACGUAGGCGGCCUAGUAAGUUAGAAGUGAAAUAAUAUAGCUCAACUAUAUAAAGCUUUUAAAACUGCUAGGCUUGAGAGAUGGAAGGGAAAGUGGAAUUCCUAGUGUAGCGGUGAAAUGCGCAGAUAUUAGGAAGAAUACCGGUGGCGAAGGCGACUUUCUGGUCAUCAUCUGACGCUGAGGUACGAAAGCGUGGGUAGCGAACAGG
rnacentral:rRNA from 1 species